CUGUGAACAGUGGCAGACGGCUGUACGGCAGCGGAGGUGCAAUAUUCGUUUUGUGCACCAACAUACCACAAGUCUAAUAAUAAGUGUGCCAGUAGUGGGAAUGAAACGGUUAAAUGUGCAUGUGCGACUGGUGCAAUAAUUGUAUUUGCCCGUCUAUACUCCGUGGUUACGGGCGCUGCAUAUUGUGUACAAUUUAACUAUAACGUACGAUAACAUUAAUUAUUUUCG